rnacentral:rRNA from 2 species
AAGCCUGAUGGAGCAACACCGCGUGAGUGAAGAAGGGUUUCGGCUCGUAAAGCUCUGUUGUUAAAGAAGAACACGUAUGAGAGUAACUGUUCAUACGUUGACGGUAUUUAACCAGAAAGUCACGGCUAACUACGUGCCAGCAGCCGCGGUAAUACGUAGGUGGCAAGCGUUAUCCGGAUUUAUUGGGCGUAAAGAGAGUGCAGGCGGUUUUCUAAGUCUGAUGUGAAAGCCUUCGGCUUAACCGGAGAAGUGCAUCGGAAACUGGAUAACUUGAGUGCAGAAGAGGGUAGUGGAACUCCAUGUGUAGCGGUGGAAUGCGUAGAUAUAUGGAAGAACACCAGUGGCGAAGGCGGCUACCUGGUCUGCAACUGACGCUGAGACUCGAAAGCAUGGGUAGCGAACAGGAUUAGAUACCCUGGUAGUCCAUGCCGUAAACGAUGAGUGCUAGGUGUUGGAGGGUUUCCGCCCUUCAGUGCCGGAGCUAACGCAUUAAGCACUCCGCCUGGGGAGUACGACCGCAAGGUUGGAACUCAAAGGAAUUGACGGGGGCCCGCACAAGCGGUGGAGCAUGUGGUUUAAUUCGAAGCUACGCGAAGAACCUUACCAGGUCUUGACAUCUUGCGCCAACCCUAGAGAUAGGGCGUUUCCUUCG